rnacentral:piRNA from 1 species
UGGCAUAAAUAUGUGAAAUGGGUGCUU